rnacentral:rRNA from 1 species
UACGUAGGGCGCAAGCGUUGUCCGGAAUUAUUGGGCGUAAAGAGCUCGUAGGCGGCUUGUCACGUCGAUUGUGAAAGCCCGAGGCUUAACCUCGGGUCUGCAGUCGAUACGGGCUAGCUAGAGUGUGGUAGGGGAGAUCGGAAUUCCUGGUGUAGCGGUGAAAUGCGCAGAUAUCAGGAGGAACACCGGUGGCGAAGGCGGAUCUCUGGGCCGAUACUGACGCUGAGGAGCGAAAGCAUGGGUAGCGAACAGG